rnacentral:rRNA from 1 species
UGCAGUCGAACGGGAUCCCUGGCUUCGGUUGGGGUGAGACCGGCGCACGGGUGAGUAACGCGUGGGAAUCUGCCCUGGGGUGGGGAAUAACCGCUGGAAACGGCGGCUAAUACCGCAUGGCUCCGGACCUGGAGCGUUUUAGCGCCCUGGGAUGAGCCCGCGUUAGAUUAGGUAGUUGGUGGGGUAAAGGCCUACCAAGCCUUCGAUCUAUAGCUGGUCUGAGAGGAUGAUCAGCCACACUGGGACUGAGACACGGCCCAGGCUCCUACGGGAGGCAGCAGUGGGGAAUAUUGCGCAAUGGGCGAAAGCCUGACGCGGCCAUGCCGCGUGAGUGAAGAAGGCCUUCGGGUUGUAAAGCUCUUUCAACGGUGAAGAUGAUGACGGUAGCCGUAGAAGAAGCCCCGGCUAACUUCGUGCCAGCAGCCGCGGUAAUACGAAGGGGGCAAGCGUUGUUCGGAAUUACUGGGCGUAAAGGGCGCGUAGGCGGAAAGAUCAGUCAGGGGUGAAAUUCCGGGGCUCAACCCCGGAACUGCCUUUGAUACUGUUUUUCUUGAGUUUGUGAGAGGAUGGCGGAAUACCCAGUGUAGAGGUGAAAUUAGAAGAUAUUGGAAGGAACACCAGUGGCGAAGGCGACCAUCUGGACGAGAAUUGACGCUGAGGCACGAAAGCGUGGGGAGCAAACAGGAUUAGAUACCCUGGUAGUCCACGCCGUAAACGAUGUAAACUAGCCGUUGGGACCUUAGGUUUCAGCGGCGCAGCCUAACGCACUAAGUUUACCGCCUGGGGAGUACGGCCGCAAGGUUAAAACUCAAAGGAAUUGACGGGGACCCGCACAAGCGGUGGAGCAUGUGGUUUAAUUCGAUGCAACGCGCAGAACCUUACCAGCCCUUGACAUGGGUAGUUUGAUUACCAGAGAUGGUUUUCUUCAGUUCGGCUGGCUACCAUACAGGUGCUGCAUGGCUGUCGUCAGUUCGUGUCGUGAGAUGUUGGGUUAAGUCCCGCAACGAGCGCAACCCUCGUCCUUAGUUGCCAGCAGGUUAAGCUGGGCACUCUAAGGAGACUGCCGAUGAUAAGACGGAGGAAGGCGGGGAUGACGUCAAGUCCUCAUGGCCCUUACGGGCUGGGCUACACACGUGCUACAAUGGCGGCGACAGAGGGAUGCAAUGGGGCGACCCGGAGCUAAUCCUCAAAAGCCGUCUCAGUUCGGAUUGUUCUCUGCAACUCGAGAGCAUGAAGUUGGAAUCGCUAGUAAUCGCGGAUCAGCAUGCCGCGGUGAAUACGUUCCCGGGCCUUGUACACACCGCCCGUCACACCAUGGGAGUUGGCUUGACCCGAAGGCGGUGAGCUAAC